rnacentral:snRNA from 1 species
GUACUCACUUUGGCAGCACAUAUACUAAAAUUGGAAUGAUACAGAGAAGAUUACCAUGGCCCUGUGCAAGGAUGACAUGCAAAUUCAUGAAGCAUUCCAUAUUUUU